rnacentral:rRNA from 1 species
UACAGAGGGGGCAAGCGUUGUUCGGAAUUACUGGGCGUAAAGCGUGCGCAGACGGUUGCGUAAGUCAGAUGUGAAAGCCCCGGGCUCAACCUGGGAAUUGCAUUUGAGACUGCGUAGCUAGGGUGCGGAAGAGGGAAGCGGAAUUUCCGGUGUAGCGGUGAAAUGCGUAGAUAUCGGAAGGAACACCAGUGGCGAAAGCGGCUUCCUGGUCCAGCACCGACGUUCAGGCACGAAAGCGUGGGGAGCAAACAGG